AUGAAUGCUUCUAUUUUUGUUUCAAAAAAUUGUUGAUAUUCAUUGAUAUUUUCAAGAGCUAUAGAUCACAAUCUAAUUGUUGUGAAUUUUAGUUUUGUGAGAAGAUUGUCUCCAAUAUUUUCAGAUGCGAUCCUUUAAGAGGAUGUUUAAUGCUUUUCAUCGCUGUUUGAGACUUCAGGACUACAGGGAGUAGCUUUGCAGAUAUUCCAGUCACCCAUGUGCCUUUGGCUGCUCUGGUGCCCCUGUGCAAUAUUACCCAGCCUUCACAGAUGAAAGGUUACUGACUUUAUUGGAAGAGACUUCACAUGGUUAUGGAG